rnacentral:rRNA from 1 species
GACGAACGCUGGCGGCGUGCUUAACACAUGCAAGUCGGACGGAAAGGCCUUUUCGGAGGUACUCGAGUGGCGAACGGGUGAGUAACACGUGGGUGAUCUGCCCUGCACUCUGGGAUAAGCCUGGGAAACUGGGUCUAAUACCGGAUAGGACCGCACUUUAGUGUGUGUGGAGGAAAGUUUUUUCGGUGUAAGAUGAGCCCGCGCCCUAUCAGCUUGUUGGUGGGGUAAUGGCCUACCAAGGCGGCGACGGGUAGCCGGACUGAGAGGUUGGUCGGCCACAUUGGGACUGAGAUACGGCCCAUACUCCUACGGGAGGCAGCAGUGGGGAAUAUUGCACAAUGGGCCGCAAGCCUGAUGCAGCGACGCCGCGUGGGGGAUGACGGCCUUCGGAUCGUAAAACUCUGUUAUUACGGAAGAACAAAUGUGUAAGUAGCUAUGCACGUCGUGACGGUACCUAAUCAGAAAGCCACGGCUAACUACGUGCCAGCACCCGCGGUAAUACGUAGGUGGCAAGCGUUAUCCGGAAUUAUUGGGCCUAAAAGCGCGCGUAGGCGGUUUUUUAAGUCUGAUGUGAAAGCCCACGGCUCAACCGUGGAGGGUCAUUGGAAACUGGAAAACUUGAGUGCAGAAGAGGAAAGUGGAAUUCCAUGUGUAGCGGUGAAAUGCGCAGAGAUAUGGAGGAACACCAGUGGCGAAGGCGACUUUCUGGUCUGUAACUGACGCUGAUGUGCGAAAGCGUGGGGAUCAAACAGGAUUAGAUACCCUGGUAGUCCACGCCGUAAACGAUGAGUGCUAAGUGUAGGGGCCUUUUGGGGUUUCUGUGCCGUAGCUAACGCAUUAAGCGCCCCGCCUGGGGAGUACGGCCGCAAGGCUAAAACUCAAAGGAAUUGACGGGGGCCCGCACAAGCGGCGGAGCAUGUGGAUUAAUUCGAUGCAACGCGAAGAACCUUACCUGGGCUUGACAUACACCAGAUCGCUGCAGAGAUGUAGUUUCCCUUGUGGCUGGUGUACAGGUGGUGCAUGGCUGUCGUCAGCUCGUGUCGUGAGAUGUUGGGUUAAGUCCCGCAACGAGCGCAACCCUUGUCUUAUGUUGCCAGCACGUUAUGGUGGGGACUCAUGAGAGACUGCCGGGGUUAACUCGGAGGAAGGUGGGGACGACGUCAAGUCAUCAUGCCCCUUAUGUCCAGGGCUUCACACAUGCUACAAUGGCCGGUACAAUGCGCAGCGAGCCUGUGAGGGUGAGCUAAUCGCUUAAAGCUGGUCUUAGUUCGGAUUGGGGUCUGCAACUCGACCCCAUGAAGUCGGAGUCGCUAGUAAUCGCAGAUCAGCAAUGCUGCGGUGAAUACGUUCCCGGGCCU